rnacentral:rRNA from 1 species
CGAAGGUAUUGAAUAAGGCUUUAAAUGGGUGCUAAGAGAAUGGUUUAACAAGGAGAGACUUUCUUUUUUUUUAUAUUAGAAGUUAAUUUGAAAAUGAAAAAGUUUUUAUAAAUUUUUGGGACAAGAAGACCCUAUGAAUUUUUUUAAAAUAAUUUAUAUUUUAAUUAAGAGUAUUAGAAAUUUAUUUGUUAGUUAUCAUGGGGGUGAUUUUUAUAGUUUACCAGUCUUUAAAAUUUUUUAAUAAAAAAGUUCCAUUAGUAGUGAUUCUGUGAUAAAAAUACUCUAGGGAUAACAGCGUUAUUAUUUUGGAUAGGUCAUAUAGAUAAAAUAGUUUGCGACCUCGAUGUUGGAUUAGGAUUCUUUUAUGAUGAAGAAGUUAUAAGGGAGAAGUUUGCUCAACUUUUAAAGACCUACUUGAUCUGAGUUCAGACCGGG